UGCGGCCCCCAGCUAAGCCACCGAGAGCAGGCCGGACCCCCGCCCGCAGACGUCCCCCGGCCCUCCGAGGGGCGGCCUGGGUGCGAGCGCCGCGGUCGCUGGGGCCGCACCUGCGGGGUCCUAGGCUUUGUCUGCGCUCGCCUUCUGCAGCCGCCGUCCCGGGGAGCCCUGAUCUGCGGCCUCGCUGAGCGUCCUGCUUGUCCAGCGCUGUCCUGGGCCUCCAGGGCCGCCCCCCAGUUCAGCACCAGAUUGCACGUGACGGCGUCCGCUGCAGAUUUCACCGCGGGGGGCAGAGAGGUGUGAGCUGUGUCCAACACCCAGGGGAGUGUUUGCUCCAGCUGAGUGGUCACCUGGACUCAGGGCCGCCUGCCGUUAGGCCCUGCUCCCCCACUGGGAUGAACCUGUGCAGCCUCUUGGGGCGAUCUCCCACACCCGACGUCACGGCCCGGCCACUGAGUGCCCUCCGACACGACUCCCCGAGCUGGGAUGCUCACUGCAGCGACACCAGAGCCUGGACAGCCCAGGAGUGACCUUGGGCGGGACGAGGGGAGCCGUUGAUUUUAUUUAUUUACCCAUGGGACCCAGAGAGAGAGGCAGAGACAGGCAGGGGGAGAAGCAGGCUCUCUGCAGGGAGCCUGAUGCGGGACUCGAUUCCAGGACCCCGUGGUCAUGCCCAGGACUGAAGGCAGACGCCCAACCGCUGAGCCACCGGGCAACCCAAGCAGGACUCGGCGUCUCGUGAGUUUGAUAAUCCAAAGCGAGGGAGAGACAGAAGAGGUCUGGAGGGCCUAUGGUCCACUCAGCCCGCGAACUCUGCCCGCAUGGGGUUGGGGAAUUUAGGGGCUCGUUUACUGGUGCGACCUGUCAGCUCUGCUUUCCCUGGAGCCCCCUACCUGCCCAAGCUGGGUUGAGCUCCCUGAAGCUGAACCCACAAUUCUCCGGGCCCCUAGGCUGGGAUCUGGGCCCAGAUACGGGCCGCUCAGGGUUCCGGAUGAUGCCAGUGGGCUGCUGAGAGCAGAGCUGGCCCAAGGACGUCUGGCCGGUGGGCCUCCCAGGCUUUGCGGUAGGACAGCGGGCUGCUCGCAUCCCUCCUUCCCCUUCAAGCCUCGUGCGCACCGUUGUCCGUCCCCCAUCCUCGGGGCUCAGCUUUGGGGAGCACCUGUG